rnacentral:lncRNA from 1 species
AUGUCCUGGUCACAUCCUUCCCCCGGCUCAAAGGGGCCUGGACCACUGGGAAACCAGCAUGGUACACAGCACAUCGGAAAGGGGCUACAUGCAAAGACCGGCUCCUGCCAAGCAAGCCGAGGAGCUUAUCACAGCCCAGCGGGAGCCCCACACCUGCUCCUCUCUCCCUGGGACACGCUGGCUGACAAGCAGCCUGUCCUCAGCAUGGGCCUGAGAGUCUGCCCCAGCGAAAUCUGCCUGGGCUUUCAUGCUCAGCACCCGCCCCAUCCCACCCUGCCCCUGAAGCCUGCGGUGGCCCCUGGGAGCGGAAGCAGACAAAUCAGUUCCCGGGGCAUCCCUGGGGCUUUAUCUCACCGGCCCCAUGGCUCCUGCAGGGAGACCUCUCCUCACCCUCAGUAUCCUCAAAGCCCCCACGUGUGAUGCCAGCCUCAGGCUCAGGCGCCCUCAGAAACAGGGCCAUCCUAACUACCCCUCGGCCCUUCUCCCCACACCCCCUCCCACCCCCUGGCCACCUGGUCAGUGGCUUCCCAGCCAAAGGUCCCAAACCCUCUCGUCUCCCCCUCUCCUGCUGGUCCAGAGGGAAGCUAACUGGACCGCUGGGAGGAGACAGAAGCACUGUAUUCUGGGAUAUUCAAACAGAAGACGUCCAUUUCCUCUAUUGUCAUCCUGAGCAUCUGGAAGCAAGGGACAGAGUGUGGGAGGGGUCGGGACUGAAACAGGAAGGCCUGGUGGGCUGAGAACAUCACCCUCCGCGGCCCACCACGGGGAUCUCGUCACUUCCUCCGCUUGCCUGGGAGGCCUCAGAAGUUUAAAAUAAAGCCAGGGAGGGUACGAAGGAGGGGGUCUGGGAUUUAACAUCCUGGUUUGGUGACUUCUCCCAAAACACAAAAAAAAGCCUGGGAUGGGGGUGACCUAGGGGAGGGAUGGAGGCAAGGGAGUGGAUGGGGAUGGGGGAUGGAGCAGAUCGAGGAGUUCAAGACCAGGGUUCUUCUUUCAGGGCUUUCCCUGCCGCUGGGCAGAGAGCUCCUGGAGGGUGCCCAGCACUUUUCUCUUCCUCUGGGCACCGCCUGCAUCUGGGCACAGGUGCCACGGGAAGCCUCCUUAAACGUUUGUGGUGUGGAUGCAAGUGGACCCCCAGCAUCCAGGUCCAGUCCUCCUCAGCCACCCUGCCUGGCACUGAAAAAGAUGGGUCCAUGCGUCCUCAGCAGGAACUCCUGGCUCUGCAAAAAGAAGAAAAGAGAUCCAGGUGAGGGAAGGAUAGAGGAGGGAGGAAGGCAGGGGUGGGGGUGGGGGCAAGGCUGAAGCAGGCUCCAGGCAGGGUUCAAGACGCAGGCCUGAUCCUCUCUGGGGCAAGAUCUCCAUCACCAGCACCAUCCCCGCCUCUGCAAGCCCCCAGAGCAGCCUUGGCCCUGGGCUCUGACUCAGUGGGACCAGAGACAAGUCCCAGAGGCCCCUCCUUGGCCCAUGCAAGGCCCUGCUGGAGGCUGCCUCUGCCUGUUCCCGUUGCCUGGUACAAGCUGCCCUUCUCUCCUCCCCUCCCUCACUGCCAUCUGGCUCACUCCACACACCCCCACCCCCCUACCAACCCCCCCACCCCCCGCCAUCCUUCAGACCAGGAAGUCGGCAGUCCCCGCUGCAACUGUUCCCAGAUCCCCUAGGAAACGUGGACCCCGCUGGGGCCAGCAUCCACUCCCAGGGCAGCACCUACCAGGCUAAUACUGUCCCUGGCUAUUUACCCUUCUCCUUCUCGUCUGGGACGGAGUAGGAACCUCCAGCCCACACUAAGCUAGGGUCAAGGGAGGGGAUCUUGAGGGGAGCUAAGGCAAGAGCAGAAACUCGUGAGCAGCACCCAGCACAGGACUUACAGUGUGAAGGCUGGUCCUCGUAGGAGAAAGAUUUGAUUUGUCUUGUGGCUACUUCGGGCUUCCCAGGUGGUGAUAGUGGUAAAGAACCCUCCUGCCAAUGCAGGAGACCUAAGAGACUAUGGGUUCGAUCCCUGGGUAGGGAAGAUCCCCUAGAGGAGGGCAUGGUAACCCACUGCAGUAUUCUUUGGAGAAUCCCAUGAACAGAGGAGCCUGGCGGGCUUUGGUCCACAGGGUCACAAAGAGUCGGACAUGACCGAAGCGACUUAGCACGCAUGCACGUGGCUACUUCACCCCGAGACCAGCGAGGGCCACUUUCCUUCGCCCCAGCUCUGCCCACGUCCUUUUCAUCGGACCUUACCCAGGCCCUGAGCUCCAUCACGGGGAGAAAACCAGCUGAUGGAACUGACGGACUGACAGCAGGAUUCAGGAAGAGGACCGAGGGAAGGGGUGGAGUGCAAGCAAGAGAGAACUGGAGGACAGGGAAAGAGGACCCGGCCAUCCCAGGCGACCUCAGGCUAGACUUCCGGGGCUCUGUGGGGAGGGAGUCAGGAACUAUUUUGCUUAAUGUUUAAACUGCAAGACUUUUACAGAAUGAGCCAUAAGUUAAAGGUUUACUCUCACGUUCACCUCAUUUCUUAGGGCAGGAAUGUGUCCCUGCUGUAUCCCUAUUCCCAGCAGAGCAGGUGCUCAGUAAAGGGUGGUUAAAUGGGCUUCCCAGGUGGUUCAGUGGUAAAGAAUCCACCUGCCAAUGCAGGAGACGCAGGUUCGAUCCCUGGGUGGGGAAGAUCCGCUGGAGAAGGAAAUGGCUUCUCCAGUACUCCAGCAAAGAGCCACUCCAGUACUCUUGCCUGGGAAAUCCCACGGACAGAGGCGCCUGGCGGGCUACAGUCUGUGGUGUCGCAAAAGAGCUGGACACGACUUAGGGACUGAACAACCACCACAACAAAUGAAUGAUGAGUUGGUGAAUGAAUGAAUGAAGCACCCAGUGUUCAUCUGACAGAGAGCCAGUGUUCUGCGUAUGUUGAGUCAACGAGGGUGCAUGUGUGCGUGUGUGUGUGUGUGUGUGUGUUGGGGAGACAUGAUCUCUCAAAUCCACACUCUACGUCCCUGCUCCUGCUGGGGGAUGGGCCUAAUUAACCACAGGAUGGUGGCCCAGCAGGCCCUUCCUCUCCUCCCCUGAGACUGCCGUCCCCUCCUCCCGGCUGCACCUGGGGGACGAGGUCAGGUCAGGAGGUGAACGAAGAGGAUGGCCAGGCCGAUGUUCAGCAGGAUCACCAUGCAGAUGAGGACGGUGUUGGGGACCUAGGAACAGCGGAAAGAGGCUGCCUGAGCCCCCAGGAGAGCACACUCCCCAACCCCGACCCUCGGAGGUGUCCAGCACCUGGACAGACCAUCCGAGCUGGAAAGAUUCUUGGCGGAAUAACCAACCAAACUGCUCAGGGUCCAGAGAGGAUCGAGAACGUAUCCCAGGGCACACAGCUGGCAGAGCUGGGACUGGAAUCCAAGAACUCCGCCGUGCCCACUGCUAAUUCCUCUGGGGCUGCAUCCCUCAGUCCCUCUGAGCCAGCUUCAGUCUUUGGCACUGUAGCCCCCGGCUCCCAUAGCAAGGCCAGAGGGCCAGGACCCAGCCCCCUACUGGGCCGCUCCUCCAUCCCCCAAAGCCCUCCCUGCUACACCGUGUACAGGCUAUUGGAGCUCAGCCUAGAUCCUCCAUAAACCGGGGCGCCCCACAGCCUAGCUGCUUGGGACUCCCAGUCGCCUCCUCCAAAGGAGCGCCCAGACAACAGUACAGAGGCCGGCCCCUGCCCCUGCGGUGGCGGCACUCUGCCCUGUAACCCUGGGUCAGGCUGCACCUAACUAAGCCCUGCACUGUGCUAUCACCCUGGCCCCCCAGUCAUCUGCCCCCCGAAUCCCACCUCCAGCUCCCCCCUCCACUCCCCACUUCCACCAGCAGCCUCACCUCCUCCACCUCGACCUCUGCCGCCGCCGCGGCCUCCUUCCGAGCCUUCUUCUUGGCCCCGGCCUUGGUUAGCCCUCGGGCCUCCGUCUUGCGGGCCUUGACCUUGGGCUCGGCCUUGGGCACGAUGGGCUUGGGUUCCAGCUUGGCGGGGCUCUCGGGCGCCGGCGCGGGGCUUCGGGGCGGGGACGCCGUCCCGGGCGCGGCGGCGGCGGCCGGGGACGGG